CGUCCAGUCAGUGCAUGGCGGUCCGAGGCUCUUUGAACAUAUCUCUGUAUGAGAUUGUCUCACGUGAUACAUCGCGUUUAUUGAGUGUACCUCACGUAGCAGUUGAUUUAUCAUUUAUUACCUACCGCUCUAAAUUAUAUACGAAAAAACAAUUAAUUGUCAAGUGAUUAUUAUCGUUUUAUUUAGUGAUAGUGUCGUCAUCUCAAAUUACUUAACACACGAGAUCAUAGGAAUUAAUUCUGCUUCACUCCGUUUUUUGACUUUGAGUGAAUGCAACUUUCUUAGGAGAACUUAAAGAUAUUCGAUUAUGAUUCAAUGAUCCCAUUUAGACCAGUCAUUGAGCCAAAUCAUCCAGGGGCAUUUUUGAACGAAGAGCUUGCUCAAUCCUUCAAGAAUGGAAAUAUGGCUGAUAUUCCUUGGAUAACAGGAUACAAUUCUCAUGAAGGAGCUAUCAAAGUAGCAGGUCUUUAUGGUCUCAAAGAAUAUCAGUAUGACAAGAAAUUGAACGACAACUUCAUGGAGUUAGCUCCUAUCACUCUGAUGUAUAAAGACACUGGUCCAAAAAAAUCACUCAAAGAUGUAGCUAACAGAUAAAUCUACCAAAUUUGGAGUC